rnacentral:rRNA from 1 species
UACAGAGGUCUCGAGCGUUAGGCGGAAUCACUGGGCUUAAAGCGUGUGUAGGCGGGUCGGUAAGUACCUUGUGAAAUCCCACGGCUCAACCGUGGAACUGCUGGGUAUACUGCCGAUCUUGUGCAACCUAGGGGCGAGCGGAACAGAUGGUGGAGCGGUGAAAUGCGUAGAUAUCGUAAGGAAGACCAGUGGCGAAGGCGGGUCUCUGGACAGUUCCUGACGCUGAGGCACGAAGGCCAGGGGAGCAAACGGG